rnacentral:rRNA from 1 species
UACGUAGGGGGCAAGCGUUGUCCGGAUUUAUUGGGCGUAAAGAGCGUGUAGACGGUCUGGUAGGUCCGUUGUGAAAACUCGAGGCUCAACCUCGAGACGCCGAUGGAAACCAUCAGACUAGAGUCCGGAAGAGGAGAGUGGAAUUCCUGGUGUAGCGGUGAAAUGCGCAGAUAUCAGGAAGAACACCCGUGGCUAAGGCGGCUCUCUAGUACGGUACUGACGCUGAGACGCGAAAGCGUGGGGAGCGAACAGG